rnacentral:rRNA from 1 species
GAUGAACGCUGGCGGCGUGCCUAAUACAUGCAAGUCGAGCGAACAGACGAGGAGCUUGCUCCUCUGAUGUUAGCGGCGGACGGGUGAGUAACACGUGGAUAACCUACCUAUAAGACUGGGAUAACUUCGGGAAACCGGAGCUAAUACCGGAUGACAUGUUGAACCGCAUGGUUCAACAGUGAAAGACGGUCUUGCUGUCACUUAUAGAUGGAUCCGCGCCGCAUUAGCUAGUUGGUAAGGUAACGGCUUACCAAGGCAACGAUGCGUAGCCGACCUGAGAGGGUGAUCGGCCACACAGGACCUGAGACACGGUCCAAACUCCUACGGGAGGCAGCAGUAGGGAAUCUUACGCAAUGGGCGAAAGCCUGACGGAGCAACGCCGCGUGAGUGAAGAAGGUCUUCGGAUCGUAAAACUCUGUUAUUAGGGAAGAACAAAUGUGUAAGUAACUAUGCACGUCUUGACGGUACCUAAUCAGAAAGCCACGGCUAACUACGUG